rnacentral:rRNA from 1 species
GAUUAACGCUAGCGGCAGGCCUAAUACAUGCAAGUCGAACGGCAGCGGGUCCAGCAAUGGAUGCCGGCGAGUGGCGCACGGGUGCGUAACACGUAUGCAAUCUACCCUUAACUGGGGGAUAGCCCCGAGAAAUCGGGAUUAAUACCCCAUAAAAUUACGAAGUGGCAUCAUUUUGUAAUUAAAGCUCCGGCGGUUUUGGAUGAGCAUGCGCGACAUUAGCUAGUUGGUGAGGUAACGGCUCACCAAGGCGACGAUGUCUAGGGGUUCUGAGAGGAUUUACCCCCACACUGGUACUGAGACACGGACCAGACUCCUACGGGAGGCAGCAGUAAGGAAUAUUGGUCAAUGGACGCAAGUCUGAACCAGCCAUGCCGCGUGAAGGAUGACGGCCCUACGGGUUGUAAACUUCUUUUGUACGGGAAAAAAUCCCUGGUCGUGAACCGGGGUUGAUGGUACCGUAAGAAUAAGCAUCGGCUAACUCCGUGCCAGCAGCCGCGGUAAUACGGAGGAUGCGAGCGUUAUCCGGAUUCAUUGGGUUUAAAGGGUGCGCAGGCGGAAUGAUAAGUCAGUGGUGAAAUCCUACAGCUUAACUGUAGAACUGCCAUUGAUACUAUUGUUCUUGAGUACAUUUGAAGUGGGCGGAAUGUGUCAUGUAGCGGUGAAAUGCUUAGAUAUGACACAGAACACCGAUCGCGAAGGCAGCUCACUAAGUUGUAACUGACGCUCAUGCACGAAAGCGUGGGGAUCAAACAGGAUUAGAUACCCUGGUAGUCCACGCCGUAAACGAUGAUUACUCGAUGUUGGCGAUACACUGUCAGCGUCUAAGCG